UUCGAUUUUCUCCAUUUGUAGGAAAGCUGAGACUUCAUUAUGUACUUGGAUAUACUACUUUGAUUGGUUAAUGGGUAUUGGGGUUUCUGAUGAAUUAUGCUUAUGAACUUGAAAAUGUAUUUCAAAUGUGAGUUUUUAGAGAAAGCAUUUGUUUAAUGCAUGUGCUCAUAGAGGUGUGAAUUUGGUCUGGAUAAAAGUGGGUCUGGAGUGAUCUUAAAGAAGACUAAGAUGGGUAGUAGGAGAUUGCAUUAUGGCACGAUGCUUGGUUAAUGAAUAAGGUGUUGAGGAAAUGGAUUGUUCUGGUCUUACUCUCAACAACAGCUUGGGAUCAAGUGAUGAGUUUAAUCCAACAAAAAUGGGUAAUAUGGAAAAUCUUUGAGAUUUUGUGGUACUGAUGUCUUAAGUUUUGGUAAGGAUAUUUGGAAAUGGCCACUUUCAAACUCUUGGUGGUUUUUCUGGCAUCUUCUCUGUGGGUUGUGAAGGAAAUUUGGGUUGCUGCUGCCUUUUGUACAAUGGUGGAGAUAGAGUUGUUUUUGAGGAGUCUGGUAUUGACAGGUGGUUUGAGCUUUAUGGGUCAAAUUCUGCAAUUCUUUGGGAUAACGAGCAGGAUAAUUAAACUUGUGAGAGAAAUUCAGUGUACUUUGGAUCUUCCAGUUAAAGGCUUUAUUGUCGUUUGUUGCGAUGGCUUUAUUUUGCCAGAAAUCACUUUGGUCUUGUGUUAAGAGCUGUAGCUGGGUUUUGGCUGUGCUACUAACUUCAUAGCUGAAAUUCAUCUGGUGUUUACUUUGGGGUAGGCCUAUAGUUGGGAGUUGAAGCUGGUUUUUAUUUCGCCAGACUCAAGUGCAGCUAUUCAUGCUUUUACGGCAAGUUAAUAAUCUUGACUCAAGUGCAGCUGUUCAUGCUUUUAUGGCAAGUAAAUUACCUUGAUAUGGGAAUUUAAGUUAGGAAGAUCUGGAAAAUGAAGACUGCAGUCAAAGAGAAUGUGGAUAUGGUACCAUACAAAUGAAUGAAUGAUCCCGAAUACCUGAUGGAGAGUAACCGUAAGUUUAUUAGACAACCCUCCUUCACAAGUUCAGCUGUGCUAGAUGACCCACACAGAGGGAUUCGCUCCAGUAUGCUCGAGGAUAACGAAUCACAAACUGUAAGCCAUUCUGACUAGAUUACGGUUUAAAUCUGGGUAUUGAAUUUCCUAUUUGCUAUUUACUCUCAUGUUGGCUGAGAGAACAUCCAGGCACGUAACUCACACUCCCCAUAUGGCCAAUGAGUUUGAUUAGCUUUAACUAGUAAUCAUAUUCUAGCUGAGUAAGUCGAAGUAUUACACCUUUCUUGACAAUGGAGGCAGUUUAUGGAGACCAUAACAAGUGAGACCAGGGGAAGGAUUCAGGCGAUGAUUCUUGUUUCCGUUUCACAUAGGAUAGGACCCUGGAUUUUGACUUUUUUGAUUAAAGACGUUGCAGGCAAACCAAGGACUAAUAGGAUCAGGGAGCAAUAGCAUAUCAAAACUUAUCCUUCAAAAUUGAUUGCAAUCUUAUGGACUGUAAGUAACUUGGAGAAAUUUUAUUUUGUGGUUGUAGUACGAAUUUCAACUGAUAUUGGAAUCGGGUAUAAUAGAUUUAUAGUUGGUGUAAAACUUUCGUAGCAUCAGUCAAAAAAUAGUAAAAGUGAUCGACAACCCUCAGAAAAUGAAUGGGUGUACAGUCCUUAGUUAUGAUGCGUUUGAUUCUGAUUUCCAUUCUCUCAUCCACUGACAUUUUUUAUAUACUUGAAAAAAAUGAACAAGUAAUGUUAAUGUCUGCCUUCAACAUCUGAUUCCUGAAUUGUAUACUUCAUAUACUUGUAGUAAUUUUAUUACAUUAGUCUGAGCUUGCUGAUUGUGUCUCAUUGACGACUUUGACCUUGGAAACCAUAGUUUUACAGGGUCAAUUUCAGUCAGAAUUGUUGAUCUAGUUCAGUUGCAAUGUUUGGUUCUUUUGCGUAAUGAGCUUACUAAAGCAAUACCGUUGAAGGCGUCAUCUUAUUUUCGGCAGAUUAAUAUAUCGUAUUGCCGGUUUGAAUACCUGAAGAACUCAACUGACUGCCUCACUUGGAUUUAAUCUCAAAUGUCCACCCACUGGAGUGUUGCCAUUGUCUCUAUGCUAAAAUGGCGCACUGGAGGCUAUACUCUGACGAAUUUUCUUAGAAUACUGAAAGCUUGUUUCUGUAG